AGAGGGCAGCAGCACCAAGUGGUGAGCAGGACUGGACCCCAGAGCCGGAGGUCCAUUCUUGGCCCUGUCAAGGGUCACUGGGUGAGGCUGGUGACUUGUUUAUGUCUCUCAGGCUGACUUUCCUGUUUGUUAUACAUUUUCAGAGCAGAUCCUGGGAAAAUAUGUAUCAGCUUAUUGACUUUAAGUGUUUUUAGAAAACUCUCUACAAUAGAGUUCUCACUUUAAUUAAAAAAAUUAAAAACAACACUAUAGUAUGACACUCCAUUAUCAAGUAAGUUUAAAUAGGGGAGAUAGAAAAACAUUGUUACUGGCUACAUCUGAACGGUCUAGAGGUAAAUAGUUAUUCUAAAAAUAAAUGUAUUUUAGGUGUAAUCUUUUAUGUUGUUUAAGGAGAUUAUACUAGGGACUGAUGAGAAAAUUUCUGAAUAGUUACCUGUAGAUCCCACUUCAUGUGAAAUUGAAUACUUUGGUCCAUAUGACAAACUAAUGGCUGAGGGAAAUGCCAUUACGAAAAACCGUGUAUGUGCACAUUCACAUGUGUGUAUGCAUGUUUGUAAUGUGCUCAUAACUUAGACAUAGUAUUUGUAAGAAUUCAGCUAUUGCAACAGGACAAGAGACACAAUUAGCAACAUUAUCCAGUAGUCUAAGUGUCUUUUGUAUAAGCUAUUCAGAAUUUUAAAUGUUAAGGUAAUUUAAAAAAUAAGAUGUCUAGUUUGCUAGUAAACUUAGCAUUCAUGUUGGCCAUUUGUGAAACAUUAUUUUAAGUGAUUAUUUAAAUCCUUUAAAUUGUAAUGUAUGAUUGUCUAGACUUCACCCUUGUAAGACCGGGUAUGACGCUGUUAGACAGUGGCAUUCUGAGAUAUUCCUUCUGAGUACAGAGUGAAUACUUUCUGACAAAAUGGAUUUAAAAUAUUCCUUACACUGGUACAACUCAAAGAAGAGCUCAGAUUCAACAAGAAGCAGGAAACCUUGGUUCCUCAUUCCCACUCCAUCUGUCUUCCUCACAUCCAGUCAUUUUUCCUCAUACAGGAAAAAUGUGUGUGACACAGAUUCCAUGUGUGUAUUUUGUGAAUAUAUACAGAGCAUUAAUGAUGGAGAGUAAGAGAGCUGCAGCAUCAUACUGACUGUUCUUGGGUUAGGGGAAAAGAAGCUGAACUCAUGUUACAGGUUGGUCAUAGGAUCCGAGUCCAGCUCAGCUCAACUGUGACUCACAGAGAGGAGUCUGUUCCAUCAGCUCCAUGCUGAAAGAGGCAGUCACAGUCAGUGGUAAGCUGGUUCAGCAGAGCCAAUGUCCCUUAUGGUUCAUUGUCUAUAAAGUCCCUGUUAGAGGAUUCCUAUUCUAGCAAGUGGAGUUAGCAAUAUCACAGCAAAUUCUUACCCUGCCUUCAAAAAUUCUAAGUCUGUGAGCACAGAUGUUGUGUAGAACUUUUAUCGAAUUAGGAAUUGUAGCAUUUAUUAUUAUAUAUAUUUUUGAGACAGAGUCUCACUCUGUCACCCAGGCUGGAGUGCAACUGCACGAUCUCAGGUUACUGCAACCUCCGCCUCCUGGAUUCAAGUGAUGCUCUUUCCUCAGCCUCCCCAGUAGCUGGGGUUACAGGCAUAAGCCACUAUGCCUGGCUCAUUUUUCUAUUUUUAGUAGAGACGGGGUUUCACCACAUUGGCCAGGCUGGUUUGGAACUCCUGACCUCAAGUGAUCUGCCUGCCUCAGCCUCCCAAAGUGCUGGGAUUACAGGCAUGAGCUACCAUGCCUGGCCUGUAGAAUAUAUCAUAAAAUGUUAAAUGAGGAGGGGUGGAAGGUGUAUUCUGAAAAGUCUGACAUUUCCUAGGAAAAUAUGUAUUUUUCAUGUUAAAUCCCAUAUUACUCCAUACUAUCUGGACUAAUUAUAUCAGGAAUGCUCUAUUUGUUUAGGUAAAUUCAAGACAGAAUGGUUGAUUAAUUCCAAGGGCUAAGUAGCAUAAAUAAACCAAUUUAGGAGCCAACUGGAAAUGAUGUUGGGGCAAGAACUAUACCUGCAUUUAAGGUGAACUAAUGUAAAUUGAUGUGCUUUGGAACUUGUAGCACAUUUGCUUAAGGUAACAUAUUAUUAUAAUAAUUGAAGAAUAUUAUGGUUUUUAACAUUACUAACUCUGCAUGAUUUAAUUUUAGAUGCAUGCCAGUAAGAAUUAUGAUUAAACACCUGUUUUCAUGACAUGCAGCCUUUCCUAAAAAUUAUGCACAUUUGUUUUGCCAGGGAACUUUCUUUAAGUGUAUAGAAAAACUUUUUUUCUUUUUGGUAUCCUCUCAAAUGUCAAUAAAGAUGCCCAAAUAAAUAAGUCCUGAGUCAAUGUAAUCAAUUAACAAUUUUUAUAGUUUAUUGCCUAUGAACCAGGGAUUUAAAUCCUGCUCUCUCUUUUCCAUCACUAAAAUUCUGGGAAACAAAUACUACAGAAACAUCUUUUAUUGAUUGAUUGAUUGAUUGUCCUUGGACAGGUCUGAAACCAAUAACAAACCUACACAAAUGGGGCAGUCCAGAAAGGGAUAAGGCAGUAUGCUAAUCACUUUGCAUCCACUAUCUCACUGGAUCUCUACAAGACCCUGAAAGAUAAAUAGCAACGACUAUUAACUGGUGAGAAAGAUUAGCUCUCUAAAUGAUCUGCCCUGGUUUCAAGUAGCUACUCGCAACUCUACCUGCCUCCAACUGAAUGACAUCCUUUCUUUUCUCUGGGUUUCUGCCUCUAUAAGAAUACUCUUGGCUAAAAUAUCACCUUACAGUCUUACAUGAGAGGAGGAGGGAUGGGAAGGGGAGAGUAGAGAUGCUCUGGCUUCAAGCUUCUGCUCCAAGAAUUCUCCCUUUUGGAGACAGCCUCAUAUUGCCUUUGCUCCUUCUCGAAUGAUGGGCCUUAUUCUUCAUGUGUGAGUCCUAAACGAGAGUGUGGUAAGCAGAAUAAUAGCCUCCAAAGAUGUUUGUGACUUAAUUCCCAGAAGCUCUACCUAUGUUAGCUUGUAUGGCAAAGGAGAUUUAAGGUUGCAGAUGGAAUUAAAGUUGCUAAUCAGCUGGCCUUUAAAGAGAUUAUUCUGGAUUAUCCUGGUGGUCCAAUGUUAUCACAAGAGUUCUUAGAAGUGGAGGAAAGAGGCAGAGACUCCAGAAAGGAACCUGGCCCUGCCACCAUGUUGAUUUUAGUCCAAUGAGAUUCUUGUUGGACUUCUAACCUAGAGAACUGU
rnacentral:lncRNA from 1 species